rnacentral:rRNA from 1 species
AUUGAACGCUGGCGGCAGGCCUAACACGUGCAAGUCGAGCGGUAACAGAUUGAUAGCUUGCUAUCAAUGCUGACGAGCGGCGGACGGGUGAGUAAUGCCUGGGAAUAUACCCUGAUGUGGGGGAUAACUAUUGGAAACGAUAGCUAAUACCGCAUAAUCUCUUGUCUUUUACGAGAUGGGAGCAAAGAGGGGGACCUUCGGGCCUCUCGCGUCAGGAUUAGCCCAGGUGGGAUUAGCUAGUUGGUGGGGUAAUGGCUCACCAAGGCGACGAUCCCUAGCUGGUCUGAGAGGAUGAUCAGCCACACUGGAACUGAGACACGGUCCAGACUCCUACGGGAGGCAGCAGUGGGGAAUAUUGCACAAUGGGGGAAACCCUGAUGCAGCCAUGCCGCGUGUAUGAAGAAGGCCUUCGGGUUGUAAAGUACUUUCAGUUGUGAGGAAGGCGUUGGAGUUAAUAGCUUCAGCGCUUGACGUUAGCAACAGAAGAAGCACCGGCUAACUCCGUG